UAGGGGUGUUGAAGGACUCAUUCAAUAUUUGAAUGAUCUCUUCUGGCUGUACAUCUUUGAACUUACAACUAAGUUCGUCGUUCAUAGCUGCCCUCAUUACGCAACGCACAGUCGUACGGUCAUUGAGCCACUUCAUGUAAAUAUCUCUCGUAGCACGAGGAACAUUGACUGUAGGUUCUUCAGAUGUCUCAUCCGUAAAAAUAUAUAAAAUCCUCUCAUGCUCCAAGAUGAUCUUCAACUUU
rnacentral:lncRNA from 1 species